GGCUUCGUAGCUCAGUUGGUAGAGCGCUCAGCUAGUAUCUGAGAGGCCUGGGUUCGAAUCCCGCUGAUGCCU